UACGGAGGGUGCAAGCGUUGUCCGGAAUUAUUGGGCGUAAAGAGCUCGUAGGCGGUCUGUCGCGUCGGCUGUGAAAACUCGGGGCUCAACUCCGAGCUUGCAGUGGAUACGGGCAGGCUAGAGUUCGGCAGGGGAGACUGGAAUUCCUGGUGUAGCGGUGAAAUGCGCAGAUAUCAGGAGGAACACCGGUGGCGAAGGCGGGUCUCUGGGCCGAUACUGACGCUGAGGAGCGAAAGCGUGGGGAGCGAACAGG
rnacentral:rRNA from 1 species